AGCGGCGAGUGAAGCGGCAAGAGCUCAGAUUUGAAAUCGUGCUAAUUUUUUUGGCACGAGUUGUAGAGUGUAGGCGGGAGUCUUUGUGGAGCACGGUGUCCAAGUCCCUUGGAACAGGGCGCCUGAGAGGGUGAGAGCCCCGUGGGGUGCCGUGCGAAGCUCUGAGGCCCUGCUGACGAGUCGAGUUGUUUGGGAAUGCAGCUCCAAGUGGGUGGUAAAUUCCAUCUAAGGCUAAAUACUGGCGAGAGACCGAUAGCGAACAAGUACUGUGAAGGAAAGAUGAAAAGCACUUUGAAAAGAGAGUGAAACAGCACGUGAAAUUGUUGAAAGGGAAGGGUAUUGGGCCCGACAUGGGGAGUGCGCACCGCUGUCUCUUGUAGGCGGCGCUCUGGGCGCUCUCUGGGCCAGCAUCGGUUCUUGCUGCGGGAGAAUGGGUGCCGGAAAGUGGCUCUUCGGAGUGUUAUAGCCGGCGCCAGAUACCGCGUGCGGGGACCGAGGACUGCGGCUUCUGUCUCGGAUGCUGGCACAACGGCGCAAUACCGCCCGUCUUGA
rnacentral:rRNA from 1 species